GAUAAAACUUUAGUCUUUAUAUUUCGGCGAAUAUUUUGUUUCAGUUUAGCAUAUGGUUUUAUACGACGCAAGGGUGUUCACAGAAAUAUGUGCGGUUAGAGGGAGUUAAAAAGUAAACCUAUUAUCAAUAUAAAAAAAAAAAAAUCUAAUUUUAUUUAAAUUUAUCUACCGUACUUCCAGCCAUGACCGGACGGUCUUUUGUGCA